rnacentral:tRNA from 1 species
GGGGGUUUAGCUCUGUUGGCUAGAGCGUUUGUCUGGCAGUCAAGAGGUCAGGGGUUCGAUUCCCCUAAUCUCCA